AGGGAAACUGUUUCACAUUUCCAAGAUCUGCUGAAGAGGCAUGAAGAUAGAAAUGAACCAAAGAGCAUCCUAGCCCAGACCCUGAGGGAUUAUAGAGACAAUGCAGCUGAAACACAGCUGAGACACAUGUGAACACUGGGGCCCCAAUAAUCCAGCAGCUUUGUCAGCAAGGGAGAGAAGUUCAUGAUGACAGAGCCGGGAGGCAGCCUGGACAGACGAAGAAGCAGACCUGAAAGGUAAUCUAAGUGCCCCUAAAUGCCAAUGAAGGGGGUGGGGACAGUCUGUCUGACCAGCUCUGUCCUUCGGAGCCACGUAAGGGACACACUUCCAAGUUGCGUCAUCCUCCGAGACAUGAGCGGUUUUUAAGAACUCGGACUGGGCAGGGAAGGGGCUCAGACUCGGGCUUCCCUCUGUCAUUGGCAGAACACAGAAUAAGAAGCAGGAGACUUAAAUGUGCUAGAAGCUUCUGUCCCCGGGGAUCAAAGGUUAUAGAUGGGAAUGUUGUUGUUAUUAAAGUGACAA